rnacentral:piRNA from 1 species
AUGGAUGGAUCAUAAGUCCAAG